AGCGUAGACGGUGUGGCAAGUCUGAUGUGAAGGGCAUGGGCUCAACCUGUGGACUGCAUUGGAAACUGUCAUACUUGAGUGCCGGAGGGGUAAGCGGAAUUCCUAGUGUAGCGGUGAAAUGCGUAGAUAUUAGGAGGAACACCAGUGGCGAAGGCGGCUUACUGGACGGUAACUGACGUUGAGGCUCGAAAGCGUGGGAGCAAACA
rnacentral:rRNA from 1 species